CCUGAUGCAGCAACGCCGCGUGAGGGAUGACGGCCUUUCGGGUUGUAAACCUCUUUUAGUAGGGAAGAAGCGAAAGUGACGGUACCUGCAGAAAAAGCACCGGCUAACUACGUGCCAGCAGCCGCGGUAAUACGUAGGGUGCAAGCGUUGUCCGGAAUUAUUGGGCGUAAAGAGCUCGUAGGCGGUUUGUCGCGUCUGCUGUGAAAUCCCGAGGCUCAACCUCGGGCUUGCAGUGGGUACGGGCAGACUAGAGUGCGGUAGGGGAGAUUGGAAUUCCUGGUGUAGCGGUGGAAUGCGCAGAUAUCAGGAGGAACACCGAUGGCGAAGGCAGAUCUCUGGGCCGUAACUGACGCUGAGGAGCGAAAGCAUGGGGAGCGAACAGGAUUAGAUACCCUGGUAGUCCAUGCCGUAAACGUUGGGCGCUAGAUGUAGGGACCUUUCCACGGUUUCUGUGUCGUAGCUAACGCAUUAAGCGCCCCGCCUGGGGAGUACGGCCGCAAGGCUAAAACUCAAAGGAAUUGACGGGGGCCCGCACAAGCGGCGGAGCAUGCGGAUUAAUUCGAUGCAACGCGAAGAACCUUACCAAGGCUUGACAUACACCGGAAAACGGCCAGAGAUGGUCGCCCCCUUGUG
rnacentral:rRNA from 1 species